CGUGUAGGCGUGGUUUCAUUGCAUGUUUCCGGUUGUUGCUGCCCUGCUCUGGGGUCAGGGGACAAAACAUCUAGAGAAAUGUCCUCAAGUCGUUGUGUUUUGGGAUCUGGGCUUUCCUGCUGACACUCCUGAAAUGGUAGUAGGAACUGUCGCUGCUCACAGGAAUUGGAAUGCAUUGUUUCGCAGUGGGCUAUAGUCACAAAAGCAAUUUGUCUGUGUUUUCAUGUUUUUCAGCAGCAGAAGAACCUGACAGCAGAAAGCAGCAGGAAUAAGAAAUGACAUACAGACAUAUACUCACUGCUUUCCGCUUUUGUGGCAGCUUACAGUAGGGAUGGUCCUCAUGGUCAAACACGCAGUGGAACAGCUGGAGAAGGGACGGCGGGCUCUGCUUGCUCAGCACUGGCUUCAAGCAUUUCCUGGAAAACAUGCAGUGAAGGCAGUCAUACAGGGGGGUGGCUGCACAAACUACUAUGUACUUACCAGGGAAACUGUGUCAGCACCACUUUCAUCUCUUUCAUCUGGCUGGCUGGCUGUUACUUGGCUCUAAAAAAGUUCUUCCAUUAUUAUCUCCUUUUGUAUCAUUUUAAAAGUAAUAAAGAAUAACCGGAUACCUCA